GUCACGCAUGGCCGCGCGCCCGCACUUUGCAAAGGAUUCAACGGGUCGGUUUCGUGUGCACAUCGCAUUCUCUGUGUGUUCCUGCGUUGAUGGCUCAGCUUCGUUUUGGUGCUUUCAGACAUUCACGUACUAAUCACAGACAUGGGAAGACUAUAAGACGUCAAGAUGAAAGGCUCCUAGCAGCUCUCGGUGUUCCCAACGAAACUGGCAGAAUGACAGUGGCUGAUUACAAGCUGCCUUUGGUGAACAAAGAAACCGUGACCACAUUAGAAUCCGAGCAGAGCUCCAAUCCUGCAUGCUGAUGACACCUUACACAACGGCUCUCUGUUAUGGGGGGCUGGUACUUAAGAAGCUUUACUGCGGGCAUCCUACCCACGAUUUUCAGACAGUUUGGGUGGAAACUUAAGCUAGACUCUAGGCCAGCGGCGGAAAAAGAGCUUCAGUGACGUGCAUGUCUACAGUGUCAUGGAAGAUGCUUCAAAGGAUACUGGACCUGCCGCCAGCUGACAUGCCUUUCUUCCUCCUUAGUUCUGUUAAGAUGUGGGUUCAGUUUUUCUAGACAUGCAAUCCAUAAUAUAUGCAGUCUAGUCAAUCAGUGCACGGCAUUACAUGCCAUUCAUUUCCUAUGUAUAUAUUUAGUCACAAUCAAAGCAGGACAACACAUGUACAUAAUUUGCAAGAAUAAAAUUUUGUUUUUUGCUAA
rnacentral:lncRNA from 1 species